AUUGAACGCUGGCGGCAGGCCUAACACAUGCAAGUCGAACGGUAACAGGAAGCAGCUUGCUGCUUUGCUGACGAGUGGCGGACGGGUGAGUAAUGUCUGGGAAACUGCCCGAUGGAGGGGGAUAACUACUGGAAACGGUAGCUAAUACCGCAUAACGUCGCAAGACCAAAGAGGGGGACCUUAGGGCCUCUUGCCAUCGGAUGUGCCCAGAUGGGAUUAGCUAGUAGGUGGGGUAACGGCUCACCUAGGCGACGAUCCCUAGCUGGUCUGAGAGGAUGACCAGCCACACUGGAACUGAGACACGGUCCAGACUCCUACGGGAGGCAGCAGUGGGGAAUAUUGCACAAUGGGCGCAAGCCUGAUGCAGCCAUGCCGCGUGUAUGAAGAAGGCCUUCAGGUUGUAAAGUACUUUCAGCGGGGAGGAAGGGAGUAAAGUUAAUACCUUUGCUCAUUGACGUUACCCGCAGAAGAAGCACCGGCUAACUCCGUG
rnacentral:rRNA from 1 species